rnacentral:rRNA from 1 species
UGGGGAAUUUUGGACAAUGGGCGCAAGCCUGAUCCAGCCAUGCCGCGUGCGGGAAGAAGGCCUUCGGGUUGUAUACCGCUUUUGUCAGGGAAGAAAUCUUCUGAGUUAAUACCUCGGGAGGAUGACGGUACCUGAAGAAUAAGCACCGGCUAACUACGUGCCAGCAGCCGCGGUAAAUACGUAGGGUGCAAAGCGUUAAUCGGAAUUACUGGGCGUAAAGCGUGCGCAAGGCGGUUUUGUAAGACAGAGGUGAAAAUCCCCGGGCUCAACCUGGGAACUGCCUUUGUGACUGCAAAGGCUUGAGUGCGGCAGAGGGGGGAUGGAAUUCCGCGUGUAGCAGUGAAAAUGCGUAGAUAUGCGGAGGAACACCGAUGGCGAAGGAAAUCCCCUGGGCCUGNACUGACGCUCAUGCACGAAAAGCGUGGGGAGCAAAACAGGAUUAGAUCCU